rnacentral:rRNA from 1 species
UACGUAGGGUGCAAGCGUUAAUCGGAAUUAUUGGGCGUAAAGAGCUCGUAGGCGGUUUGUCGCGUCUGCCGUGAAAGUCCGGGGCUCAACUCCGGAUCUGCGGUGGGUACGGGGCAGACUAGAGUGAUGUAGGGGGAGACUGGAAUUCCUGGUGUAGCGGUGAAAUGCGCAGAUAUCAGGAGGAACACCGAUGGCGAAGGCAGGUCUCUGGGCAUUAACUGACGCUGAGGAGCGAAAAGCUGGGGGAGCGAACAGG